rnacentral:rRNA from 1 species
UUCAAGUGAAGAGUUUGAUCCUGGCUCAGAUUGAACGCUGGCGGCGUGCCUAACACAUGCAAGUCGAGCGGUAACAGGUGUAGCAAUACAUGCUGACGAGCGGCGAACGGGUGAGUAAUGCUUCG